UACAGGCUUAACACAUGCAAGUCGAGGGGAAACGACAUCGAAAGCUUGCUUUUGAUGGGCGUCGACCGGCGCACGGGUGAGUAACGCGUAUCCAACCUGCCCACCACUUGGGGAUAACCUUGCGAAAGUAAGACUAAUACCCAAUGAUAUCUCUAGAAGACAUCUGAAAGAGAUUAAAGAUUUAUCGGUGAUGGAUGGGGAUGCGUCUGAUUAGCUUGUUGGCGGGGUAACGGCCCACCAAGGCGACGAUCAGUAGGGGUUCUGAGGGGAAGGUCCCCCACAUUGGAACUGAGACACGGUCCAAACUCCUACGGGAGGCAGCAGUGAGGAAUAUUGGUCAAUGGGCGAGAGCCUGAACCAGCCAAGUAGCGUGCAGGAUGACGGCCCUAUGGGUUGUAAACUGCUUUUAUAAGGGAAUAAAGUGAGUCUCGUGAGACUUUUUGCAUGUACCUUAUGAAUAAGGACCGGCUAAUUCCGUGCCAGCAGCCGCGGUAAUACGGAAGGUCCGGGCGUUAUCCGGAUUUAUUGGGUUUAAAGGGAGCGUAGGCCGGAGAUUAAGCGUGUUGUGAAAUGUAGAUGCUCAACAUCUGAACUGCAGCGCGAACUGGUUUCCUUGAGUACGCACAAAGUGGGCGGAAUUCGUGGUGUAGCGGUGAAAUGCUUAGAUAUCACGAAGAACUCCGAUUGCGAAGGCAGCUCACUGGAGCGCAACUGACGCUGAAGCUCGAAAGUGCGGGUAUCGAACAGGAUUAGAUACCCUGGUAGUCCGCACGGUAAACGAUGGAUGCCCGCUGUUGGUCUGAAUAGGUCAGCGGCCAAGCGAAAGCAUUAAGCAUCCCACCUGGGGAGUACGCCGGCAACGGUGAAACUCAAAGGAAU
rnacentral:rRNA from 1 species